rnacentral:rRNA from 1 species
CGGCACGGGUGAGUAACGCGUGGAUAAUCUACCCUUAAGAUGGGGAUAACGGCUGGAAACGGUCGCUAGUACCGAAUACGCUCCCGAUUUUAUCGUUGGGGGGAAAGAUGGCCUCUGCUUGCAAGCUAUCGCUUAAGGAUGAGUCCGCGUCCCAUUAGCUAGUUGGCGGGGUAACGGCCCACCAAGGCAACGAUGGGUAGCCGGUCUGAGAGGAUGACCGGCCACACUGGAACUGGAACACGGUCCAG